rnacentral:rRNA from 1 species
GAUGAACGCUAGCGGCAGGCCUAACACAUGCAAGUCGAGGGGUAGAAGUUGCUUGCAACUUUGAGACCGGCGCACGGGUGCGUAACGCGUAUGCAAUCUGCCUUGUACUGAGGGAUAGCCCAGAGAAAUUUGGAUUAAUACCUCAUAGCAUUAUGAUGUGGCAUCACAUUAUAAUUAAAGUUCCAACGGUACAAGAUGAGCAUGCGUCCCAUUAGUUAGUUGGUAAGGUAACGGCUUACCAAGACGAUGAUGGGUAGGGGUCCUGAGAGGGAGAGCCCCCGCACUGGUACUGAGACACGGACCAGACGCCGACGGGAGGGAGGAGUGAGGAAUAUUGGUCAAUGGGCGCAAGCCUGAACCAGCCAUGCCGCGUGCAGGAUGACGCAUCUAUGGUGUGUAAACUGCUUUUGUACAGGAAGAAACACUCCCUCGUGAGGGAGCUUGACGGUACUGUAAGAAUAAGGAUCGGCUAACUCCGUGCCAGCCGCCGCGGUAA